GGUGAACGCUGGCGGCGUGCUUAAGACAUGCAAGUCGAACGGCAGUCUUCGGACUGUAGUGGCGCACGGGUGAGUAACGCGUAACUGACCUACCCCAAAGUCGCGGAUAACGAUUCGAAAGAAUCGCUAAUACGUGAUGUGCUGUCAGAUUGUGUUCUGCCAGUAAAGAUUGAUUGCUUUGGGAUGGGGUUGCGUUCCAUCAGCUAGUUGGUGGGGUAAAGGCCCACCAAGGCGACGACGGAUAGCCGGCCUGAGAGGGUGGCCGGCCACAGGGGCACGGAGACACGGGUCCCACUCCUACGGGAGGCAGCAGUUAGGAAUCUUCCACAAUGGGCGAAAGCCUGAUGGAGCGACGCGACGUGAGGGAUGAAGGUCUUCGGAUCGUAAACCUCUGAAUCAGGGACGAAAGACACGUCGGUGGGAUGACGGUACCUGAGUAAUAGCACCGGCUAACUCCGUGCCAGCCGCCGCCGUAACAC
rnacentral:rRNA from 1 species